CCACUAUUGGCAGGGGGAAUACCACGAUCAAGAAGGUGGUUUCCCCUAGGGUGAGGCUCUUCCACUGCACAUUUCGGUUGGGUUGACGUCUGUGAUUUCCCCAAAUGUGGGAAACUCAACUACAUAAUUUCUAGUAGUGGGGGACUGUGUUCACACAGUUUGUG